rnacentral:lncRNA from 1 species
UGCGCAUGCGCAAUGCCAGCCAGUGCCUGCGCGGCUUGCUCCAGCAAGGUAAAAUUUCCCACUGCGAGGCAGGCAGUGAUGCUGCGGCCGCUUCGCACUGUGGCUCCUGCCGACCGCCAGGCGCUGUUACAGUGGAUGCGAACUAACCGUAAGUCAUUAUAUCGUACUGCAGAAACCAGCUCAACUAUGCAAAACUACCACCAGGACUGGCCGACACCAGGAGGGAUUCCAGAGACCACACUGCAGGGAGCAUACAGAAAGAAAAUUAAGAGAUCAGAUGCAGCAGCAGCCGGAACCCACAGUUCACCUUGGUGCAUUCCUUUAUGAUGAAGACUUAUUGAUUCAUUAUAUGAGAAAGGAAAAAUGAGCAGAAACUACUGUAUGAUGUGCAGCUCACACCAGACAGCAACUUUAGCACAUGUGCCUCACUCUUCAUGGUAAAUGUUUUACUGAAGAAUAACAUACAGAAAAGUGGACAAGUCUUAACUGCACAGCUCAAUGAAUUUCCAUGAAGUAAAUAUACCCAUAUGAUAAUCCAGCUCAAGAAACAGAAAAUCACUACCACCCCAGAAGACUGCCUUAUACUACCAUCUUUUAAGAGUGAAUCACACAUGGGAUAAGAUUAGCAUAUUCGUAGUCUGGAAAAUGCUAUACAAAGAAUGUAAAGCAUGAAACUACUUGUGGACCAAAUGAAAAACUGUGGAGCAGAUUAUGAUGCAGUUAGACCUUGCUUGAAUGACUUUGACCCACAAAAGCAGAGUAAUUUAUCCCUACUUACAGAGAGAUUGCCCUACGUGUAACAGCUGCAUACAAAAAAGUUAUAAAAUUAUCAUUGGUUUAACAAGGAUAAGUGAAAAACAUUAAAAUUCUCCAACUGAACAAGGUGUGUCUGUUUCAUUGAUUGGCUGACUGUCAAAUCGGAAUCUGAUCUGCCCCAUUGACAAUGCCUUGGGCUUUUCCUCGGCCAUGGCAAAUGCCAGAGUCUUCUCAGCUGCCGCUUCACAAAAGAGGUACCAGCUUCUCACUGAACGAACACAGUGCAGCACCAGGAGUGACAGAAGAAGGAGGCGGCAGCGGUGGUUGAGGGACAGGGUGCGUGCACGUCCAAGUACAGUUCUUAAAAUGUUGAGGGCAUACAACAUAUGCUCAAUAAAUACCUGAUUUUUAAAAAAGACAAUGACUAUGGAAAACUCUUGAUCAUUAACCCGAAGGGAGAGUCUAGUUUCCAGGAAGCAUUUGUUUGUAUACACUAUUUAACCCAAGGAUACACUCUUUUCUCCGUGGCAGCGUGACUCAUCUUAGUCUCCAAUUUUUGACCUGGUAAGGCAUCUUUUUUGGUCUCUUAAUUUCUGGCUCACUUGGCCCUGAUUUGAUGUGAAUGUUCUUACUGACAUCCCAGUGACUGAUUCUCAGCACACCACAACCCCUUUUGGUUCCUACCCUAUCUUCUCUGUGUUGGCAACUGGACUCGCCUAUUCUUCAGGACUUUCAGGAGUGCACACUCUGGUAGCUCUCUAUUGACUUUACUGCUCACUCAUUCUUUUUCUUUUUUUUUGGAGACGGAGUCUCGCUCUGUUGCCCAGGCUGGAGUGCAGUGGCGCGA